GACGAACGCUGGCGGCGUGCUUAACACAUGCAAGUCGAACGGAAAGGCUCCUGCUUGCAGGGGUACUCGAGUGGCGAACGGGUGAGUAACACGUGGGUGAUCUGCCCUGCACUUCGGGAUAAGCCUGGGUAACUGGGUCUAAUACCGGACAGGACGAUGGUUUGGAUGCCAUCGUGGAAAGAUUUUUGGUGGGGGCUGCGCUCGCGGCCUAUCAGCUUGUUGGGGGGGUAAUGGCCUAGCAAGGCGUCGGGGGGUAGCCGGCCCGAGAGGAUGUACGGCCACAUUGGGACUGGGAUACAGCCGAGACUCCUACUGGGGGCAGCAGGGGGGAAUAAUGCACAAUGGGCGCGAGCCUGAUGCAGCGACUCCGCGUGUGGGAUGACGGCCUUCGGGUUGUAAGCUCCUUUCGCUAGUGACGAGGCGCAAGUGACGGUACCUGGUGAAGAAGCACCGGCUAACUACGUG
rnacentral:rRNA from 1 species